UUGAUUGCCUAAACAGGGUAGUCAAACGUCACUUGAAAAGGCUUCCAGCUUGUGUUCCAAAAGCACCCAGGUCUCCCAGAGGUCCUGUUUCAGACCUGUCAGUCUCAUGUAGACGUUUGGAUACUGCAGCAGCAGAUCUCUGUCCUCAGGCAAUGAGAUCAAGCCCAAAGCGUGACAAGAUAAUGACAAGAGACAUUUUAACAACUGCACAAGUAAAGAGAGAUCUGGGAAGAUGGUGCGUGAAGCUGCAUGAAGAAUCCAGACCUAUACAAAUUCAAGCAUGUGUAUGUACAUUGUACUUCUGAUGGUCACAUGAUAAAAGGAGCUGUAAAAGAAAAUGAGAUAAGAGCGCUGGGACACCUCCAAGCACACCACUCAGCUUUCAACACUGGCACUUCUGAGCCCAUUCUUACACCCUGGUAAGAUGAUUAAUGUACCUUGGAAAAUCACCUAAUGGUUUGAUACGCUUUCUAUGUGGCCUCUUCUAGGAGAAAAACAGGAUAAUGUGAGAUGUAAUUUAUGGGUAUGAGGUGGGGGAGCAGAGACAGAGAAGCUCAUUCAGAAGUAUUGACAGGAUAUCUGUAGUGCUUGAGAACCACAAAGCAGAAUUUAAAAGCAUUUGUGAGAUAGAGUGAUAUUGGAAGAGAUCCCAAAUACAUGGAGACACCUGGCUGAUAAGGAU
rnacentral:lncRNA from 1 species